rnacentral:ncRNA from 1 species
AUGGUAGAGGUGCGGCAGAGAUCAGUAGUUGUUUCCGGAGUGACAUCAAUGGGAAGCAGUGAAAGGGGCUGUCGCCGAAGUUAGCAGAAUGUCAAACCUGCUGGCUGGGGUGCUGUUGAAUAAGCGGCACACUGUCACGGUGUUGUAUUGAUCCGGUCAUCGGGUCGAUGUAGUGCGUUGUUUUUGCCAUCUGGGCUUGUCUGCUCUGAUUUAUCCAUGAUUUAUCAAGAGCAGGGAACCGUGGAGUGCUACC